rnacentral:rRNA from 1 species
UACGUAGGGGGCAAGCGUUGUCCGGAUUUAUUGGGCGUAAAGAGCUCGUAGGCGGUUCCGUAAGUCGUGAAGUCAAAUCUCUGGGCUCAACCCAGAAUCGCUUCCGAUACUGCGGUGACUGGCGUCCGGUAGGGGAGUGUGGAAUUCCUGGUGUAGCGGUGAAAUGCGCAGAUAUCAGGAGGAACACCAACAGCGAAAGCGGCUCCCUGGUCCAGCACCGACGUUCAGGCACGAAAGCGUGGGGAGCAAACAGG